rnacentral:rRNA from 1 species
UUAUAAAAAUUUAAAAUUAAUUACUUAAAAAUUAAUAGUUAAGUUCUUUAAAUUUAAAAAAUUUGGCGGUAUUUUAGUCUUAUUAGAGGAACCUGUAUCUUUAUUGAUAAUCCACGAUUAAUUUUACUUAUUUUGAAAAUUCAUAUAUCGCUGUCAUGAAUAUAUUAAAAAAUUAAUUUUCUUUAAUUAUUUUGCUAAUUUAUGUUAAGUCAAGAUGUGGUUUAUAAAUAAGUUGAUUAUGGGUUACAAUAAAUUAUAUUUUUGGAUUUUAAAUGAAAAAUAAUUGAUGAAAUUGGAUUUAAUAGUAAUUUUAAUUAUUUAAUUAAUAUGAAUAUAGAUCUAGAAUAUGUACAUAUUGCCCGUCAUUCUUAUUAAAAAUAAGACAAGUCGUAACAAAGUAAGUGUACUGGAAAGUGUACUUAGAAAGA